rnacentral:lncRNA from 1 species
AUGACUGUUUGGAGCAACCAUGCAGUUAGCUGUAUGGCCUCUGCACACAUGCAACCCUCUGGGACACUGCCAGCUACUGCUCCCUGCUCGCUGCGCCCAAUAGACCCUGGCAGCUCCUUGACCCCUGGAUGUUGUGUCUGGGUCACUUCUGCAGCCAGUUCUGUUGGGGGAUGUCGCCCUGGGGGACCUCGAACAGCUCCUUCAAGCACAGUCCCAGGCCAUCUGUAAUUGCUCCAGAAGCAAAACCGCCUCAGAAACCACCGUGAACACAAGUUGCUCUGCAAAUCCAAUGCAGCAGCCCCUGGCUCCCCUCCAGUGCUUCGAUUUGGGGAUUAGACAGUCGCCAUCCCUACUGAUCAGGGUAUCAUGAAUGGCUCUGGGCUCAGUUCUCCUGCACCUGGUCAAAUUUUUUGCAGACACGAGCCAGGAUGACGGGGAGUGCCCAGGGAUGUGGUUCUCUCCCGGUAAUCAGCUCUGAGCCAUUUGAGCCUCUCUCUCCAUUUACCACCAGUCUGUCAAGUCGCAGCGUGGCCGGUUUAUCUCCUGUUUCAUGGAACACAUGGUCACUCCUGGUGCUCCUGCUAACCUUGCCUGUCUUGCUUGCCUCACAGCAGAGACCAGCCAGAUGCUGACCGUGGUCCCGUGACCAGGGAAGCAGCAUGCUUGGCAAAGGACUUCUAGCUAAUGCAGGAGAUGGUUAAGUCUGAUUCCAACUCAGUGGUCAAAAUAAAAUGGAAGGGUUAAUUGCUGAGCAGCUGUGUUUGAACCAGAUUUCUUCAGUACCCUGGAAGCCGAUUGCCUGGGCCUGGGAUAGAAAGGCCAAGAAACACUGGGAUCAUGGGAGAGUGUCGGCGGCUCUUAGGACAUGAGGAUUGGGGGUUUAUGGAGGCACAGAGUCCCUCCUGCAGGUCAGGGUGCCUCGU